rnacentral:rRNA from 1 species
UACAGAGGGGGCAAGCGUUGUUCGGAAUUACUGGGCGUAAAGGGCGCGUAGGCGGCCCGCUAAGUCGAACGUGAAAUCCCCGAGCUCAACUCGGGAACUGCGUCCGAUACUGGUGGGCUUGAAUCCGGGAGAGGGAUGCGGAAUUCCAGGUGUAGCGGUGAAAUGCGCAGAUAUCAGGAGGAACACCAAUGGCGAAGGCAGCUCGCUGGGACGGUACUGACGCUGAGGCGCGAAAGCGUGGGGAGCAAACAGG